rnacentral:lncRNA from 1 species
ACUCACUGAGUCGUUCAUCCGACUCGCCGAGUCCAUUCAGUCCCUCAUCCAUACAUAGGCUUUUUAAGCCAUGCUAAGGCUCCAUAAUGUAGAUCAAGUCCCCCAAGGCAUGUUUAUCACAUAAAGUUGCAAACUUUACGUGCAUGCAAGGCUUUAAAGUAUUAAAAUGACAAACUAAGCUUGCAAUGGAGGUUUUGCACCUAAGGAGAGUCUCAUAUUUGCAAAAGUUGGAAGCUUUAUGGACUUAAAGACCCAAGAGAGUUCAGAUCUGAAGUUACAACUUCAGAUUUUAGCUUAUACACAAGCAAAGCUUCCAAACAUACUAGAAAAGCCCUAAAAUCCACCCAAAAGAGAUUUAGAAUGAAAUGAGGUCAAGAUAACGAUUAUAUACCUUGCAAAGGAUGCCAACUAAGAUAUACUUCAGAUCCCACACGUUCCUUGCUUCUAGAUACUUGCUCUCUAAGCUUUUCUCUCCAAAAAUCCUCUUCGAAAGCUUAAAAAUACCCAAAUGGAGCACACUCACACGAAUUAGGGUUCAUGGUUUAUCAAGAGGAUAUAAGGGGAGGCUGAGGAUGCCAGUGAUCCUUAAAAUAGGGUGCAUUACCCCGUAAUUUAUGGUUUCAUAUGCCAACUCCUACUCGUCGAGUCCCUUCUUGGACUCGGCGAGUAGGUCACUAAAACACGCGGACCAACCCGCUGCUACUCGAUGAGUAGGGCAACCAACUCGUCGAGUAGACCUUGAAAUCUUGAAAAUUCUUAUAAAAUUGAUACCUGAGAAUCGGGGCGUUACAAUUCUCCCCAACUUGAACUACACUUCGUCCUUGAAGUCUUCCACGACGAACAGCUCCGGAUAGUGCUCCCGCAUCUCUGUCUAUGGAUCCCAUGUCCAUUCAGACCCCUUCCAGUGAUCCCACUGUACCUUCAACAGAGGUAUCUCAUUGUUCUACAGAACUUUCAUCUUCCUCUCCAGUAUGGCUACGGGCCUCUCCAUGUAAUUCAGGCGCUCAUCAACCUGAAUAUCAUCCAACGACACCACUUCCUCCUGAUCCAUAAUGCACUUCCACAACUGCGAAACAUGGAAAGUAUUGUGGAUCCCACUAAGCUCCUCCGGUAGCUCUAACCUGUAAGCCACCUUGCCAACCCUUGUAAUGAUCCUGAACGGCCCAAUGUAACAGGGACCCAAUUUUCCCCCUUUUCCUGAAGCGAAUCACACCCUUCCAGGGUGAGACCUUCAGGAGUACCAUAUCACCCACCUGAAAUUCUAACUCGGAUCGUCGUCUGUUGGCGUAACUCUUCUGCCGACUCUGGGCGGUCUGCAAUCGCUGCCUAAUCUGUUGAAUCAUCUCGGUAGUCUGCAAAACUACUUCCAUCCACCCCAUCAACCUGUGUCCAACCUCAUCCCAACAAAUCGGGGUGCGACAUCUCCGCCCAUACAACAGAUCGAAAGGUGGGCCGCCAAUGUUGGAAUGAUAGUUGUUGUUGUAAGCGAACUAUGCAAGCGGUAGGUGGGAAUCCCAAAUCCCACCGAAGUCAAUGACACACGCCCUCAACAUAUCCUUGAGGGUCUGAAUGGCCCGCUCGCUCUAACCGUCAGUCUGCAGAUGGAACGUUGUACUAAAGUGCAACCACGUGCCCAAUUCCUCGUGGAACUUCUGCUAGAAACGGGAGGUAAACCUAACAUCUCAGUCAGAGACAAUGGAGACUGGAACCCCAUGGCAAGACACGAUCUCACGGACGUACAUGUCGGCCAACCUCUCGGUCGCCGAACUCUCCCGAAUAGCCAAGAAAUGGGCACUCUUGGUCAAUCGAUCUACGAUGACACAUAUAGCAUCAAAUCCCUUCGCCGUCCUUGGCAACUUGCUAAUGAAGUCCAUCGUGUUCUGUUCCCAUUUCCACAUGGGAAUCUCUAGAGGUUGCAGCAUACCAUGCGACCUCUGAUGCUCGCCCUUGACCAUCCUGCAGGUCAAACACCUCUCGACAUACCAAGCGAUUUCUCGCUUCAUACAUGGCCACCAAUAACUCAAACUCAGGUCUCGGUACAUCUUGGUAGCCCCCGGGUGAAUAGAAAAGUGAGACUUAUGAGUCUCCUCCAUGACUGUCUGUCUGACCCCACCAGAAAUCGGAACCCAUACCCGAUCGCAUCGGGUGAAUAAUCCUCGGCUAUCCUGUACAAACCGGGUGUUUUCACCCUUGAUCCUCUCCAACUUCCAGUUCUCCGGUCACAUGCCCUCAACCUGAGCAUCCCUGAUCAAGCUCAUAAUCGGAGAAUUCACCGUUGUCCUCAUACACACUGCUGGGGUGGAAGAUCCAGCUGUCUUGCGGCUCAAAGCAUCCACCACCACGUUCGCUUUACCGGGGUGGUAAAGUAUCUCACAGUCGUAGUCCUUGACUACAUCCAGCCACCUGCGCUGCCUCAUGUUCAGGUUCGGAUGAUCCAUGAUGUGUCUCAAACUCUUGUGAUCCUUGUAUUUGGUACACCCCAUAUAAGUAAUGUCUCCAUAUCUUGAGAGCGAACACCACCACUCCCAGCUCCAAAUCAUGAGUAUGAUAUCUCGUCUCAUGCGGCUUUAGCUGCCGCGACACGUAGGCUAUCACCCAUCCUCUCCGCAUGAGGACCGCGCCUAAACCUGUGAUGGAUGCAUCACAAAACACCAUAAAAUCCUCCACUCCCUUCGGGAGUGUCAAGACCGGAGCCUGGCAUAAACACUGAUGGAGAGUCUCAAAGGCCCUCUGCUACUCUAGUACCCACCGAAAAUCCAUUCCCUUCCUCGUCAGACGAGUGAGGGGUACUGCAAUCUUAGAGAAAUCCCGAAUAAACCUAAAGUAGUACCCUGCUAAACCCAAGAAGCUCCUGAUGUCCGAAGGAGACCUUGACACCUCCCAUUGCAUAACUGCCUCGAGUUUGGUUGGGUUGACCAAAAUCCCCUCCUGGUUAACGAGAUGUCCGAGGAACUGGACCUCUCACAAGCAAAACUCACACUUAGAGAACUUGGCAUACAACCGUUCUCGUCUCAUAACUCCCAAAAACUCCCUAAGGUGCUCCUCGUGCUGCUCUCGGGUCUUGGAAUACAACAAAAUAUCAUCUAUGAACACAAUCAUCGAGCGAUCAAGCAUCGGUCUGUAGACCCGACUCAUCUGGUCCAUGAAUAUUGUUGGCGUGUUGGUGAGCUAAAAUGGCAUCACCACAAACUCGUAAUGACCAUAACGAGUUCGAAACGAGGUCUUCUCCACGUCCUCCUCUCGGACCCGGACUUGAUGAUAUCCCGACCUCAAAUCAAUCUUGGAGAACCAAGAUGCGCCCUGUAAUUGAUCGAAGAGAUCAUCAAUCCUAGGGAGUGGAUAAUGCUUCUUCACCGUUAACUUGUUCAACUCCCUAUAAUCAAUGCACAUCCGGUGCAAACCAUCCUUCUUCUUGACAAAGAGGAUCGGUGCUCCCUGUGGAGAGCUACUAGGUCGAAUGAAUUGCUUGCCCAGCAGUUCCUACAACUGUGAAGACAACUCCUGCAUCUCGGGUGGCGCCAACCGGUACGACGCCUUGGCGAUAGGAGCCGCGCCCGGCACCAGGUCGAUCUGGAACUCGACCUGCCUCUCCGGAGGUAUCCCUGGCAAUUCCUUCAAGAGCACGGUGGGUAACUACCUAACCACUAGAACCUUUAAAACCGAAAUCUGAUCCCUGACAACUGAACAAAAACCUGAUCCCACGCUGGUGCCCUCACCAUAUACAACAAGUUCUCCCCCACUUGGGGUUCAAAAUACCAAUCGAUGGCCCUCACAGUCAAUCAUAACACCGAACUGACUGAGCCAGUCCAUGCCUACAAUCACACACACCUCCCCCGUGGGGAUCAUAAUCAAAACUAUUGGAAAGGACACCCCGAAAAUCUCCAACUCACACCCUCGGUAAGACCGAAGAAGCAGAAACCCCGUGUUCGUUGGCGAUAGAGACUCGCAACGGACACUCUAACUCGCCCACUAGCACACUGAACUCCCUACUAAAUGACUGAGAUACGAAGGACUGACUCGCCCCCGAGUUAAAUACAACCAAAGCAGGCAAAGAGUUCACUAAAAACGUACCUAAUCACAGGUACAACAGACAAGCAUAAAACAGUUAUAAUAAAUGAAAUAAAGGAGAGAAACAUACCAGCAACCACAUCUGGUGUUGCCCUGGCCUCCUCUACGGUCAGUUGGAAGGCAUGCCCCUGAGCCUUCGGAGGCUCUGUCUUGACUGGCCUCCCAUCCGGUAUCCUCAAUGUAGCCAGCGCUGGAGCCUGCGUCGGCCUGGCUACGAGCUGUGGACAAUUGGUCUUCACAUGACUAACCAGAUGAUAGUGAUAGCAUAUCCUCAUAUCUGAUGCAGGUGCUGUCUGGCGACAAUCCCUAGCAUGGUUACCCCCCUUGCUACACUUGUGGCACCCACUACCCAUCCGAAAAACUCCAAAAUGACUCUUGUCGAACCUUCCACAAGUGUGGCUCUGCUGACCCCCGGUCCUAGAAUCAGCGGUCUUAGACCGCUUAGGCGUCGGCUAUGACUGCAUCGGGGCCAGCCGCUGCUCCCUUAUCUGCAGCUCAAUCUCCAACUCACGCCGCCUAGCAGCGUCCUACAACUCCAUAAGAGUAUCACAUCGCUGGGUAGACACAAACUGACAGAUGUCAGUCUUGAGCAUGCUCAGAUAACGGGUCAUCUGAGCCUGCACAGAAGCAAACUCUGGGCACAACAUCGCCCACUCUAUGAACAUGGUGGUGAUCUCCGUCACCGACUCCCCCUCCUGUCUCAAACUCAAAAACUCAUGUGACAAACGUUCCCGCUCGACCCGCGGAAUGUAUCGGGCGCAGAACAUAUCCCUGAACUGUUCCCAAGUAACAGCAGCUCUCUGAUCAUCAGUGAACGACCCACUCGCCAACCUCCAUCAGUCCUUGGCCCUGGACCUUAGCAUGUUCAGAGCACACCUGACAUUCUGGUCAGUAGGAUACGAGUACGUAAAGAAACACCCCUCCACAUCUGAGAUCCACCUCAUAACCUUGAUGUGGUCCUGUGUCCCAUCAAAAGUAGGGGCCUUCGUGUUAUCGAAGUCCGUGUACUGGAAGCCCCGGGUGGCUCCUCCUCCUCCCCCUGUCGCUAUUAUAGCCAAUACAGCAGCAGCAACAGUCGUCUCUGCAAGGGCUGUGUAUCGCUCGUCGAAGUACUCGACCAUGGCGGUCUUAAUAGACCCAAACAUCUCCGGCAGUUGUGCCCGGAACACAGCAACAACCUCAUCAUGCAGGAUCUCCCGAAUCCUGGCAUCCAACUCCUCUGUACCCAUCUGCACCAUGGGCUGAGGUGUUGUUGGCCCCUCCUGGCCUCCGUCUCCUGAUCCUGAUCUUGAAUCAGAUCCAGUCACAAAGUGUCUCGUCAUCACCAUUCUGAAAGAUACCACAAGAUAUCAGAUAAUCCACAUAAAUAACUAGGAACCAACUCCCAACUAAACCCUAGGGGUUGUGACUUCCUUGAUACGCAUAUGGGUCCUGUGCUUUUAGUAGUACGGGCCCAUACUCCCUUCCACACCUACCCAUAUUUGUUUCAAAUAUCACCACAAAACCCUAACAAUAUACAUAAGCAUAGCGAGUGCUCAAUCCUCACUCCUAGAGGAAGGCUAACUAAAUCACGACUGACCUACUGGCCUCACACAACCCACCCAUUCAUGAAACUUCCACCAACCCUGCAACAUUAGUGUAUGCUAAUCAUACAUAACGUUGGACCCUAUAGACUUUCGAAUAUCUGAUCUUACCCUAAGCCCUAAUCAAUAAGAGCAGAUCAUAAGGUCAAAUCAAACAUUCUUGCACUAUGAGAUCUUUAAUUAUGUACAUCCAUGAUACAUACACUAGUAACUACAGUAAUGAUGUCAAUCUCAUGUAAAGAAACCCUAGGCUAGCAGGCAUCACGUAAUCAGGCAAUUCUAUCAUUCAAUUCCUGAGGAUCCCUAGCCUAGUACUAGCAUGUUGUUCUAUCAUAUCAUAAUAUCAAAUAACUGUAUGGUAUUUUGGGGUCUACUUAUUGGCUUUGGCUGAUCGUACACUUUGCAUCCUCCCUUACUUAUUUUGAAAACCAUUUAAAAAAACUCAUUUUAAAAUCUUUCCCUUGAUUUGAGACUGGAGUCACACGAGUGUUCCUCCAAUUCGCUCAAACCAAGGCUCUGAAACUAAUUUGUAACACCCAAAAGUUUCAUGCCAAAUUAAAACUUUUUCAAACCAUUGCAAACAGUUUAUCAUUACAAAGUUUGUUUUCAAAAUAUAUAAUAUCAGAGUUUUCCAAGAAACAUAAACAAAUCAUGAGGAGCUGUAGAUCAUGCCUUCGCCUUGCUGCAAUCCCUUGAUGUACCUGAAACAAUAAAUUGAAACUGUAAACCCGAAAGCUUAGUGAGUUCCCCCAAAAUACCAACGCCAUACAAACAUAACCACAUCAUAUAACAAAUACAGAACAACAUGCAUAAUAAGCCUUCAGCCUGACUAGACCGCCUCGCAGGGCCUACAACCUAUCCGGACCACUCCCGAGCCUUCGGCAUGACUGGACUGCCUCGCAUGGCCUACAACCUAUCCGGACCAUUCACCGGGUAUGUUGGCCUUUAGCACAAAGCAGGACCGCCUCAACCCAACCCCCAAUCAAACAAACAUAUGCACAUAAAUAUCAUACGCUAGUUCAUAUCAUAUAACAAUCAAACCGAUCUAAUAGAUCACUAAUCAUAACAACAUCCCAACAAACGGGUUGUAGACCUAACUGGUCACUAACAUUGCAUCAUCCUAUAACCAGGUCCCUAUGUGUAAGCAUAUCACCAUCCUAACUACCAGGAUGUAAUCAAUAAACAUAUCAUGCCAUAACCGAAUACAAUCCAUAAAGGGUCGGCCUUCGUGCCUUAGAACAUAUUGAUAUAGUGAGGAUAACUCACCUCGCACUGUCAACUCGAAGAUAUACUCAAGCUCUUGGAUUGCCGAUACAACUCCACCACUUUAAUGCACCACAAAACCAUUCUUGUUAAUUUCCAAUUUCCCAAAAUGUCCUAGAAGUCCAAUAGCCAACCCUUGGUCAAAGUCAAAGUCAACUAUCAAAGUCAACAGUCCAUGUUGACCUCAACUUGUCGAGUAUAGCCAUCCACUCGCCGAGUUCCUUGCAUAACUCACCAACUCGCCGAGUCACUUGAGCGACUCGUCGAGUUCCUAGUGUCAGUGGUCGUAAACUCCUUGGCCAACUCGUCGAGUUUCCUCUUUACAACUCGUCGGUUCAUAUGUUUCCAAAGGUUGGGAAAACCCUAGCCGACUUGCCGAGUCAUUCAACUGACUCGCCAAGCCCAAGGAAAUCUUCAUCGGACUCGCCGAGUCGUUCAUCCGACUCGCCGAGUCCAUUUAGUCCUUCAUCCAUACAUAAGCUUUUUAAGCCAUGCUAAGGCUCCAUAUUGUAGAUCCAGUCCCCCAAGGCAUGUUUAUCACGUAAAGUUGCAAACUUUACGUGCAUGCAAGGCCCUAAAGUCUUAAAAUGACAAACUAAGCUUGCAAUGGAGGUUUUGCACCUAAGGAGAGUCUCAUCUUUGCAAAAGUUGGAAGUUUUAUGGACUUAAAGACCCAAGAGAGUUCAGAUCUGAAGUCACAUCUUCAGAUCUUAGCUUAUACACAAGCAAAGCUUCCAAACAUACUAGAAAAGCCCUAAAAUCCACCCAAAAGAGAUCUAGAAUGAAAUGAGGUCAAGAUAACGAUUAUAUACCUUGCAAAGG